GACGAACGCUGGCGGCGUGCUUAACACAUGCAAGUCGAACGGUGAACCUCUUCGGAGGGGAUCAGUGGCGAACGGGUGGGUAACACGUGGGCAACCUGCCCCCGGCUCUGGGAUAACUCCAAGAAAUUGGGGCUAAUACCGGAUAUUCACCGCUUCCCGCAUGGGUGGUGGUGGAAAGGGUUUCCGGCUGGGGAUGGGCCCGCGGCCUAUCAGCUUGUUGGUGGGGUAGUGGCCUACCAAGGCGACGACGGGUAGCCGGCCUGAGAGGGUGACCGGCCACACUGGGACUGAGACACGGCCCAGACUCCUACGGGAGGCAGCAGUGGGGAAUAUUGCGCAAUGGGCGGAAGCCUGACGCAGCGACGCCGCGUGGGGGAUGACGGCCUUCGGGUUGUAAACCUCUUUCAGCAGGGACGAAGCGCAAGUGACGGUACCUGCAGAAGAAGCACCGGCCAACUACGUG
rnacentral:rRNA from 1 species